CCGCGUGCAUGCUGGGCUCUCCUGGCUCAGCUGCUUUCACACAUUGCCGAUCAGCAGCAGCAGCAGUGAAGGAGAACUUAAGUGGCCGUGCCCACCUGCUGCUGCUUGGGUCCUGUGCACAAGCUGUUCCCGCUGCCUCCAAUACUCAUCCCCUCGACUUCUAUGGAGCUGACUCUUCACCUUCCAGCCUUGGCUCAAAUGUCACCUUCACAGUAAAGGCUACCCAUGGCUGGGUGUGUGGUUGUGCAGGAUCUGCCCCUUCCAAAGGGCCAGAAUGGAAAAAUGAACUCACUUCUGUUCUCUACUACACUAAAACAAUGCUUAGCACAUAACCAGGACCUGGCACCUAUUUGUUAAAUGAAUGAAUGAAUGAAUGACUAAAUAAAUGAAAAAAAAAAAAAAAAA
ensembl:lncRNA novel transcript, antisense to DNAH3